rnacentral:misc_RNA from 1 species
GGAUGAAGAACGCAGCGAAAUGCGAUAAGUAGUGUGAAUUGCAGAAUUCAGUGAAUCAUCGAAUCUUUGAACGCACAUUGCGCCCAUUAGUAUUCUAAUGGGCAUGCCUGUUCGAGCGUCAUUUCAACCCUCAAGCCCUAGUUGCUUGGUGUUGGGAGCUUACCCCGCCAUAUGGCGGGGUAACUCCUUAAAUUCAUUGGCGGAGUCGCGGUGACCCCAAGCGUAGUAAAUUAUUUUUCCUCGCUCUAGGUGUCGACGCUGGCUUUCCAGCCGUUAAACCCCCCCUAAAUUUAUAGUGGUUGACCUCGGAUCAGGUAGGACUACCCGCUGAACUUAAGCAUAUCAAUAAGCGGAGGA